rnacentral:rRNA from 1 species
CCUACGGGAGGCAGCAGUAGGGAAUUUUGCUCAAUGGGCGAAAGCCUGACGCAGCAACGCCGCGUGAUCGAGACGCCCUUCGCGGUGUAAAGAUCUGUCAGUGGGGACGAAACUUGACGGUCCCCACAGAGCAAGCACCGGCUAACUCCGUGCCAGCAUCCGCGGUCAUACGGGGGGUGCAAGCGUUGUCCGGAAUCAUUGGGCGUAAAGAGUUCGUAGGCGGCACGUAAAGUCUGGUGUUAAAGGCAGAGGCUAAACUUCUGUACGGCACUGGAUACUUGCGAGCUAGAAUGCGGUAGAGGUAAAGGGAAUUCGUGGUGUAGCGGUGAAAUGCUUAGAUAUCAGGAGGAACAUCGGUGGCGUAAGCGCUUUACCGGGCCGUAAUUGACGCUGAGGAACGAAAGCCAGGGUAGCGAAUGGGAUUAGAUACCCUAGUAGUC